GUUUGUUGUAUUACUUUUAUAGAUGUUCCAGUAUCAAAGGCAUGUGCUGAGGCUUGCACACCAUCCGCUACUGUGAAGUGCUGCGGUACAUCUCAGUGUAACGUGGACUUCUUGAAAUGCUACACCUGCACUGACUUGACAGAUGAAUCUAAUUGUAAAGAUAUAACAGUCUGUGGGUAUGGUGACAAGUUCUGUAAAACCACUUACAAACUAACUGGAACUGGUAAGUAAUGAUCCCGAAGGGCCGGGUUUCUCUGACUAUAACAAGUUUAACUGGCUUCUCUUUCUCUCGUACAUUCCUACUUAGUGUUGGGAUUAACAUAGAUUUUUCCAGCAGCUUCUUUCUAAAUAAGGACAAGAACAUAUUUGCAGUCAUCACAAGAGACAAGUUUACAUUGCACUAAUGUUUCCCACAUUUAAGUCACCAUUCAAUCAGCUAACAAUAGUAUUCAAGCCAGAUAAAUGUAUCUCUACAAUCAGGGCUGUUUUGAAAAUGUACCUCCACCUACAAAUCCAAGCUAAAAUACUUUUUAUUACAGGCUUCACAUUGUUUUUAUUCUCUAAUACAAUGUUUGAAAUGGCAAGAGUAACAAAGGCCUGUGUCAAUUGAUGAGAUAAUAGUUAUAGAAUUAUGACUAACUUUCUUUUUGCAUUCAUUGAUAGGUGUCACCGUCAGCAAGGGAUGUGCAUCAACUUGUACUGUAACAACAGCUUUCCCGCGAGAUGAGUGCUGUCAGGGAGAACUGUGUAAUGAUAAAUUGAUUUGCUUCAAAUGUGCUGAAACAACCGAUGAAAGUUCCUGUACUUCGAGUCCAUGUGCAGCUGAAGCAUUCUGCAAGAGUGACUACAAACUGAACGGGGCAGGAGUGCCUGUUGUCACUAAGUCCUGUGCAGCUGAUUGCAAAGCUGUUGACAAUACAGCAGACAAAAACGUGAGGACAACUUGCUGCAAAACAGGCUAUUGUAAUGGAAAUGCCUUGAGUUGCAACACUUGUACUAAUGAAGCUGACGAACCAAAAUGUGCAGCAACAGCCUGCGCUGCAGCUGACAAACUAUGUCAGAGCACUUAUACCCUCACUG